AACACGUGAGUAACCUGCCCUUGACUCUGGGAUAAGCCUGGGAAACUGGGUCUAAUACCGGAUAUGACUCCUCAUCGCAUGGUGGGGGGUGGAAAGCUUUUUGUGGUUUUGGAUGGACUCGCGGCCUAUCAGCUUGUUGGUGAGGUAAUGGCUCACCAAGGCGACGACGGGUAGCCGGCCUGAGAGGGUGACCGGCCACACUGGGACUGAGACACGGCCCAGACUCCUACGGGAGGCAGCAGUGGGGAAUAUUGCACAAUGGGCGAAAGCCUGAUGCAGCGACGCCGCGUGAGGGAUGACGGCCUUCGGGUUGUAAACCUCUUUCAGUAGGGAAGAAGCGAAAGUGACGGUACCUGCAGAAGAAGCGCCGGCUAACUACGUGCCAGCAGCCGCGGUAAUACGUAGGGCGCAAGCGUUAUCCGGAAUUAUUGGGCGUAAAGAGCUCGUAGGCGGUUUGUCGCGUCUGCCGUGAAAGUCCGGGGCUCAACUCCGGAUCUGCGGUGGGUACGGGCAGACUAGAGUGAUGUAGGGGAGACUGGAAUUCCUGGUGUAGCGGUGAAAUGCGCAGAUAUCAGGAGGAACACCGAUGGCGAAGGCAGGUCUCUGGGCAUUAACUGACGCUGAGGAGCGAAAGCAUGGGGAGCGAACAGGAUUAGAUACCCUGGUAGUCCAUGCCGUAAACGUUGGGCACU
rnacentral:rRNA from 1 species